GCCACCUCCUCCCCCGCGUGCUCCUCCCAAUGGCCCUACAGGCAGCACUCAGGGGGCUCAUCGUCCAGGUGAUGCCAACCCUCAAAGACCUCCUCCCCCGCCUGGCCCAACUAGCAGUGCCCUGCGUGCUACUCCCAAUGGACCUACAGGCAGGACUCAGGGGGCUCAUCACCCAGGCGAUUACAAUCCAAGUACCAUGACGGGCCGUGCUACUACAGGUGAUCGUGAUGGUCCU